rnacentral:rRNA from 1 species
UACGUAGGGUGCAAGCGUUAAUCGGAAUUACUGGGCGUAAAGCGUGCGUAGACGGUAGCGUAAGUCGGGUGUGAAAGCCCCGGGCUCAACCUGGGAAGGGCAUUCGAGACUGCUCUGCUAGGGUGCGGAAGAGGGGAGCGGAAUUUCCGGUGUAGCGGUGAAAUGCGUAGAUAUCGGAAGGAACACCAGUGGCGAAAGCGGCUCCCUGGUCCAGCACCGACGUUCAGGCACGAAAGCGUGGGGAGCAAACAGG